rnacentral:piRNA from 1 species
UAUCAGAACGAACCUUCAUAG